GGCCAUAUCACGUUGAAACAUCGGUUCUCGUAUGAUAAUCGAAGUUAAGCAACGUCGAGAUUGGUCAGUACAUAGAUGGGUGACUGCUUGGGAAUACCAGGUGCUGUAA